UAGGGAAUCUUCCACAAUGGACGAAAGUACUGAUGGAGCAACGCCGCGUGAGUGAAGAAGGUUUUCGGAUCGUAAAACUCUGUUGGUAGAGAAGAACGUUGGUGAGAGUGGAAAGCUCAUCAAGUGACGGUAACUACCCAGAAAGGGACGGCUAACUACGUGUCAG
rnacentral:rRNA from 1 species